rnacentral:rRNA from 1 species
UGGGGAAUAUUGGACAAUGGGCGAAAGCCUGAUCCAGCCAUGCCGCGUGUGUGAAGAAGGUCUUCGGAUUGUAAAGCACUUUAAGUUGGGAGGAAGGGCAGUAAGCGAAUACCUUGCUGUUUUGACGUUACCGACAGAAUAAGCACCGGCUAACUCUGUGCCAGCAGCCGCGGUAAUACAGAGGGUGCAAGCGUUAAUCGGAAUUACUGGGCGUAAAGCGCGCGUAGGUGGUUCGUUAAGUUGAAUGUGAAAGCCCCGGGCUCAACCUGGGAACUGCAUCCAAAGCUGGCGAGCUAGAGUAGGGCAGAGGGUGGUGGAAUUUCCUGUGUAGCGGUGAAAUGCGUAGAUAUAGGAAGGAACACCAGUGGCGAAGGCGAACACCUGGGCUAAUACUGACACUGAGGUGCGAAAGCGUGGGGAGCAAACAGG